CAGUAGCCGCGGGAAUACGAAGGGGGCUAGCGUUGCUCGGAAUGACUGGGCGUAAAGGGCGCGUAGGCGGCUUGUACAGUCAGAUGUGAAAUUCCUGGGCUCAACCUGGGGACUGCAUUUGAUACGUAUGGGCUUGAGUGGAGAAGAGGGUUGUGGAAUUUCCAGUGUAGAGGUGAAAUUCGUAGAUAUUGGAAAGAACACCGGUGGCGAAGGCGGCAACCUGGUCUUUAACUGAUGCUGAGGCGCGAAAGCGUGGGGAGCAAACAGGAUUAGAUACCCGCGUAGUCCCUGUCUCUUAUAC
rnacentral:rRNA from 1 species